GCGCAGCACUGCUUGCGCCUCAGCGGUGCGGGUGCUGUGGCUGUCGCCUGGCAGCGUUGGUGUGGUUUGCGGUUCCCAUCGAGAGUCACAAAACCUUGCUGGUGUGGGAGCUGAGCCCCGGACCCACGGCCCAGGCCUUGCGUGUUCGUCUUGGUACCAGACAGAAGGUAGUUCAACAUCAGGCCCUGGCAAAUUACUACUUUGGGUUCAAUGGAUGGUAAAAGGAUUGUUAAGCUUUAGGAGAUUUCUGAUACUGAACAACAGGAAAAUGAAGAUCUUGGGGCACCAGUUGAAAAGCCAAGCCUGA
rnacentral:lncRNA from 1 species